UUUUUUUUUUUUUUUUUGGUCUUUUUAGGGCUGUACCCAUGGCAUAUGGAGGUUCCCAGGCUAGGAGUUGAAUCAGAGGCGUAGCUCCGACCUCCACCACAGCCAUAGCAACACUGGAUCCUUAACUACUGAGGGAGGCCAGGGAUCAAUUCCGCAUCCUCAUGGAUCCUAGUCGGGUUCAUAACCCACUGAGCCACAGUGGGACUUCCUAGAGAGGUUUUCAUUAAGGGCUGAUGUAGGGCCACUUCUGGGUUCUCUACCAAAUUUUCUGGGCAUCCAGUGAGAUUUCUCUCCUCUGACUGGAAAGACUCUUCUUACAAAGAUUUCUAGUCUUAUGUGAGCUCUGGGAAGUAUGCGAUUACGUCUCUGCAGGAAUGGCUCUUUUUCUGAAGGAUGUUCUUGCCCAGCCUUGCGGGGUUUCACUCUGUACCCAGCGCAGAUGGUGAAUCUGCCUAAAGCUCGACUGAAGCCCUGUGUGGGUUUGGAGCUCCUCCUCUGCUAGGUUCCUCCUCUGAGUCUACCAGCAAAUUCUGGCUGCCCUUUGCCUCUCCAGACUCUGGCCUCUUUAGCUCCAGGAGUCUGGCGGACCCUGUCUGGGCUCCUCCCCCUGCCCUGCAGGAGCAGCGGGCUCACAGCACUUGCUUCCCUUUUCUCAGAGAUUGCGGUCCUGUGCUACCGGUUUUCUAACCUCUGGAAGUAGUUUUUUCUUAGACUCUUCCCGUUUCUUCAUUGUGUGUGGCAAAAGGGUCGUUUCAGUCCACCUUUCUUGCUCCUGGCCAGAGUCAGAAGUCCUUCUCUCUCCUUCCAACUCCCCACAUCCCUUGCCUGUCCGUCUUCCCAGGUUCUGCUCCUGCUCUGAUUUGGAUUCUGAUCCUCUGCAUUGGACUAUGACCAUGUGACAAGGCAAGGGCCUUGUCUUAUUCAAAUCUGCAUCUACAGGGCGUCCCACGGGGCCUGGCACCGAAUAGCCAUGGGGCAGGUGCGUUUUUGUGCUUUGGUCUUCCCUGCUCUCUUCCUUUAAGAAUCCUCAAAUCAUGGAGUUCCUGUUGUGGCUCAGUGAUUCAGAACCCGACUAGGAUUCACGAGGAUUUGGUGUGAGCCCUGGCCUCUCACAGUGGGUGAAAGAUCCAGCAUUGCCAUAAGCUGUGCUGUAGGUCAAAGAUGGGGCUUGGAUCCUAUGUUGCUGUGGCUGUGGCUGUGGUGUAGGCUGGCAGCUGUGGCUCCGAUUUGGCCCCUAACCUGGGAACUUCCAUAUGCUGCAGGUGCAGUCCUAAAAAGGAAAAGAAAGGAAGGAAGGAAGGAGGGAAGGAGGAAGAAAGGAAGGAGGGAAGGAAGAAAGGAGGAAAGAAAGGAAGACAGACAGGGAGAAAAUAGGAAAGGGAAUCUUCAAAUCAUGUCCCCAUCCUUUUGAAAAUUAAUUUAUUAAUUAAAAAUUUCUAAAUUUUUUUUUUUUGGCUCAGAGGGUUAAGGAUCCAGCAGUUGUCACUGCUGUGGUGCAGGUUUGAUCCCUGUCCCUGGAAUGUCCACAUGCCCCAAGGUGGGGAAAAAAAAAAUCUUUCUUUUUUAACCUCUGUCCAAAGUUGUUUUUUUCUUAGGUUUUUUUUCCCCCAUUAUAGCUGGUUUACAGUGUUAGAAUUUUUCUUUUUUUAAAAUUGAAGUAUUGUAGUUCCCAGGUGGCCCCAGUGGUUAAGGAUUUGGGGUUGUCACUGCUGUGGCUUCGGUUCAGUCCCUGGCCUGGGAACGUCCGCAUGCCAUGGGAGUGGUUAAAAUAAAAAUAAAAAAAUAAAUUUGAAAUAUAGUUGGCCUAGAAUAUUAUAUUAGAUUAGGUGUACAGCCUAAUGAUUCAAAAUUUUUAUAUACUAUACAAAGUGAUUAUAAUAUUAUUGACUGUAUUCUCUGUGUGGUACAUUGCAUCCCCAUGACUCAUAACUGGUCAUUUAUAUCUCGUAAUACCCUUCACCUAUUUUGCCCAUCCCCUCACCCUGCUCCCUCUCGCAGCCACUAGUUUAUUCUGUGUAUCUGUGAGUCUGUUUCUGUUUUGCUGUAUUUGUUUUGUUUUAUAGAUUGCAUAUGUAAACGAAAACAUACAGUAUUUGUCUUCCUUCCUUUCUUUCGGCCGUGCCUGUGGCAUGCAGUAGGUCCUGGGCCAGGGAGUGAAUCCGUGUCACAGCAGUAACUCAAUGCCAGAGCCUUAACCUGCUGUGCUACAAGAGAACGCCAGUAUUCGUGUUUCUUUGUUUGGCUUAUUUCACUGAGCAAAAUAUCCUCCGGAUGCCUCCACUUAUCACAAAUGGCAAGAUUUCAUUCAUCUCUAUGGCCAAUGUUCAUAUACAUAUACA
rnacentral:lncRNA from 9 species